ensembl:lncRNA
UUGCCCAUUUCUUAUGUGUUUAAAGACUAAUUAUAAGAAUAAAGAUUUAGUGAUCAAUGCAGAAUUCUAAUUUAAUUGUUGAGUAUUAGAAUGCAUUUUCUCCCCCUCUUCUAACUUAGAAACUGAAUUUUUUUUUUUUUUCAUUUUUUUCCUACCUGGCAAAAGCUAAUUUAAUCCAACUGGAUUGCACAUUCGAAAUGUACAGAAUUUUGGUCCGAUUUACCGAGUAUCACUCCCUGGAUAUAGCUCAAUUUUCCCUCACAGGACUGACAGAUGCCUAAAUGCAAGAGAUUGUUCUUGUCAAGGGAGGCACUGACACAAAUUCAGUUGUGUGGGUUGUUGGCUCUGUCUGAUGUUGUCCCUUCUAAUGCUACAGAACAAAUCACCUUGCACAAGGAUCUGGGAAUCUCAUUGCUGCUCUCUUUGUUCGGGCCCAGAGGUUCCUCUUCUGCUGCACUUGUAUCUUGCAAGGGUGAGUGCCACUGCUGCAGCCUGUUGUGAGGAAGAGAGUUGGCUUUAGCUGAUGGAGGGAAAGGUUGUGGAGUUGCAGCCUCUUCCACGUGUUAAGAAACCAGCCAGGAACUUCUGGCCUAUGAAAAGAAUGAAUGUGGUAACCAGGGGGAAACUAUGACACUUCUGAGUUGUGGAGGAGAAUUUAUUUGUGAAAGAUCCUGAAAGCUAAAUCUUCUUUUCAGUGGCUGUCCAUGUACAUCAUUUAUAUCUAUAAAGACUGUCAAGAUCAGACCUGUUGCCUUGAACCUAAAGAUAGAUUUGGAAAAUCUCUGCUUCUUUAAUGUGCUUUUGUUUGGAUAGUUGUUGUUGGGGUUUUUGUUUGGGAUUUUUUAUUACUUGUGGUAAAUUUGUCUCUGUGUGAGGUAUUUCUGUAGAGGAAAGCUUGUUCUCAAGCUUACCUUGUACGACACAGUAAAUGGAGCAGCUCUUCUCUUUGUCUGCAGGUUUUCAAAUGGCAAAAAUAUAACCAGGUAUUAACUUCUGCUCCAGGUGCUCAAAAUGCCAAUUUGAUGGUAUCUUCCCACUGGCCAGUUCUGAAUCUGUUUCCAAAAGAGGUGACACAAGUGGGUAGAGCUGAUGUGGUUAAAGCAGAGGAGUAGGAUUCCUUUUCUGUGUGCAGAUGUUGUCUUGCUCAGUAGGUGAUAAAGCUGUGUUUUGCUCACCGGUCCUGGAUGUAACAGCUGUUGUUGUUACAAUGAUUAUAACAUGAGCUGUAAUGAGUUCUUAGCACUUUGUACUUGCAAUGGAUACUCCCUUUGAAAAAGUGCAUGGUGUAAUGUCUGUAAUCUGAGAGUAUUCAUUUAAUGUAUGUUACAAAUACAGUACAAUUAUACAACACUGAUUCACAGCAAUGACCAUCUUAAACAUGCACUCAGAAGUUGGAUUCAGUUUAAAUUUGUGUUUCCAUUUUAUCCAUGUCCUACACAACAAAUGCCAGCAAAUAUUUUUGGAUUAUCUAUGCAAUUGAGGAAUUACUUUCUUUUCACCUAUGAAACUUAUUUUAGAUUAUUGUAAUGAAGUACAAAAAUUCAUCUUUUGGUGCAUUGGAAUCAUACUGAUGCCAAUUCAGUAGAUAAUAAAUGAUUUGUAUGUAUGGGUUUUUGCUAAACU